rnacentral:tRNA from 1 species
GGAGGUGUAGCUCAGUGGUAGAGUGUUUGCCUAGCAUUCGUGAUGCCCUGGGUUAAUCCCUCAGCACUGCCA